GUAUGUGACAAUUCUCACGUCACACGUCAGUCAUGAUGCUGGUAUAAAGAAGGUCGGUCCAACUAUUUCAGUGAUCACAUUUUCAGAGGGACUGUGGCUGCUGGUUGCGUCUGUGCUUGAAGUUCUAGCCAAAUCAUCAUAAGGAUGUCAAAAAUGAUGGUUGUUCAUCUCGGAGUGAUUGUGUUCGCUAUAUGUUUAUCGACACAGGUGGUCUCCCCGAACACCACAUCGGGCAACACGCCCGGUGUAGGUUCCAGCGUCAACUCCACCAUGGUCACGGACACGUACAGCAGCUCGGUCAACUCCACCUCCCCUACCGGAGUGGGCAUGUCACUGCAGUCCAGCCACUUCUCCCUCCUGCUCCCCAUCGUCAUGGCGACCUGGCUCCUGCACUGCUUUUGUUGAACCCAUAACCCUUGAUCCACCCUCCUGUUACCACCUCAACCACCACCACUCCCCUCAACCGCACUGAACCAAGACCCCAAUCCUAACAUCCAGCAGCCAAAAUGGACUCCACAUCACCCACACCCACUCGUUCGCCCCCACAGAAAAAAGAAAAUCCUAGUGCUGACUUUUUUUUCUGGGGGGGGGGGAUGUUAGUUGGAGAGGAAGCCGCCACCAUCAACCCCUCGCACCCCUCCCCUAUUUCGAAACCCCAUACGGAACCUCAACAUGGCUUCUUGCUCUGCCAACCCUCAAGACCUGCAUUUCCAUAGUAACACAACCAACAUCCUGGUUAUCAGUCUGGGGUAUUCUGGGGUAUGUAGGCCUACAGGGAAGUGGUUGUCAUGUCAGGUCUCUUGAAAAAAAUAUGGACCACUUGUGUGUACAGAAGUUCUUAUUGUAGUUUUAAUUUCACCUGGGAAAUAAUUCUAAAUUUGUUUUGUAUGUGCCCUGCCCAAAGUGAAGGUUGCACAUAGAUUAUUAAAGAGAAACUCAAGCCUCUUUUAAUUAAACUAUUUUAAAUGGUCACGAUUUGGCACUUUUUGAGUUUUUUGUUAUUGGAAAUGUACCAGAAGAUGUGUUGUAUGUAGAGAUAAUAAGAUUGAUACUGGGCUUGUGUCGGUAUACCUUGUGAUUUAUAAAGAGUUUCUGGUCUUUUACAAGGAGGGUAUAACUGGCAUCUCUCCCUUUCGAUGCCUGGUUGGUCCUAACAAAAUGACUGUACUGUAACCAUGUGGGAAGGGUUGAUGUUACAUUUAUAUUCCCCCUUAUAGUUUAUAUUUUGUAUAAAUGGCAAUGUUACAAUGUUAGUUUUUGUUAAAUCUUCUGAAAUAAUGGGAAGGAAUGACAAUGUACAAUAAAUUAUACUUAAAAAUAUUUAUUUUGUAUGUUUUCUCCUUACUGAUUUAAAGGUGUUUCAUUGGUUGAUACUAUACUGUCACUGGAUGCAUUUUUUGUUUUGUUUUAAUUGAACUUUUACUUAACCUUUAUUUAACCAGGCAAGUCAGUUAAGAAAAAUUCUUAUUUACAAUGACGGCCUACCGGGAAACAGUGGGUUCUCUUGUUCAGGGGCAGAGCGACAGAUUUGUACCUUGUCAGUUCGGGAAUUCGAACCAGCAACCUUUCAGUUACUGGCCUAACGCUGUAACUAGACUACCUGCCGCCCCAAUGAGUUUGUAGGUUUAAGAUUCACUAUUUAGGUUUCUCUUUUGGUGGCUUAACUACUUUCACUACCUUUGAAAUGACAAACUACCAAAUCUUGUUUUAAGAAUCUAGCUUGGUUGUUUAUUGAUCCAGCCUUCUGAAACCGUCCUUCUUGGUCAAUGUCACCUGUACUUUGAUCUCUCAUCUCCUGGAAAUCCACAUCGAUCUCGGUCCAUAACAUAAUCCUAAUGUAGUUUGCUAUAGGAGUGCAGCAGACAGAUUAAUUGGUAUUGAGCUGCCAUAGAGUCUAGACGUACAGCAGCUGCUGAGCUUGCUGCAUGGGCCCGAGCUGAACUCAGCAUUUCAUGAUGCCCCCUAGAUCUCCUCUGGCUUUAGUCCAGUCACACACACACACACACACACACACACAACAAAGCUGUGACCUUCAUGUUCUACAGAUGUGAGGUUUAAACUCAGGUCCUAAACUUUUUCUCCUUUGAAAAAAAAAUGCCGCAUUUCUCAGUUUUUAACGCUAAGCACUGAUGUUUUUUAUCCACUUGCCAAGAGUUGGAGAGGAGGAUCCCCUAAAGGUGAAUGAUUUCAUAUAUAUUUAGGUAACUAGACCUGUCUCUCUGCUCUGUCUAACCAACACUGUCUAGUCUUUGAUUUCAUGCUAGAAAGGAUGCCACUUCAUGGUUAGAUGUCAGACGAACAUCUAACGUCCAUUUGUAUGAGUUGUCAACAAAUAUGAAUUCUACUUGAAAUGAACCAACCCUUAAAACCCUAUUACUGAUUUUUGCUUGAAAUCUAGGUUAAAAUUAC
rnacentral:lncRNA from 13 species